AAGACUAUAGACCUGCGGAGUACCUGCGGAAGGAUCAUUACCGAGUUAGGGUCUCUAUGGCCCGAUCUCCACCCCUGUGUUUAUUAUACCAUGUUGCUUUGGCAGGUCUGCCUUUCGGGGCUGCCGGGGUCUUUGCUGCCCCUGGCGUGCACCUGCCAGAAGCCUUCUUAAAUUCUGUGUUGAAUUGUGUUGUCUGAGUCCCAAUAUUAAAUUAUGAAAAACUUUUAGCAACGGAUCUCU
rnacentral:misc_RNA from 1 species